GUAAUUGUGUAUGAUAGUGGGAAUCUCUUUAAGAGAAAAAAAAAACAAAGAGUAUUCUGGGAAAACUGAAGUGUUUGGCUUGGUAGUGUCGUCCAUAUUUAGUGCUGCGCCAUCGCCUUACAACAGAAGUGUUGAUUCCGUCGACUUGAAAUCAACUUACGAAUCAACAUUAAAACAAAUUUGCUUGACAGCUACUGUGCAUGUUGAUAUUUAUGUUGAUCAUUGUGUCAUUUUGUUCAGAGUUUAGUUUUAUUUUUUUUAAGUUUAUUUUUUUUUUAUUCUUUGGACAAGAGGUUUACACUUUGUUUGUCAUUUCACAUCGCGCUCAGGAAGCUAGUUAGUAUUGUCGCUUCGUGUCAAACAUUAUAUUACCACUAAGCCAGUGUUUCCCAAACUUGGUUUCGAAGAACCCAAGUGUUCUUUGAGGCCCGACUUUGUGUUCCAAAAACUACUGGAAUAAAUAGCUAAUAAGCUUUCAAGUGAAUAUUUCUCGAGUUGCCUGAAGAAGUCGAACAAUGAUGUACUGGUUGAUGCUUAUAGCUGCCUUAGAGUUUGCAAUAGUUGGGACAGCGUUAGCAGACGACGGUGCAUGGAGCGUUCCUACUUGGAUUCCCGUAGCAGCUCUGUUAGUUCUUUAGGUUGCUGCAUUGGCGCUUUGCGCAUCAAAUAAAAGUGAAAAAAAGAAGAAAGAAUACGAUGGUGCGCACGAUGAGAAAGACAACAUAGAGAAAAGACAAAAAUAGUAACAGACAAUGUUUGCUAGCGUUAGUCUAAUUACAUUCCUCAUUGCUCACUUUUAAUUAGUGUCUAUUUUGUUGGUAAAAGACAUUCUGAAUUUCUUUGUUUUAAUUUUUCAACUAGAUGAUUUUUUUUUGUAGGUAUUUUUGUUUAAUUUGUGUUUGUUAAGGCUGUGUUUACACUGGGAGGUCAAUAGGUUUAGUAGCAAGGAUUAAAAGAGUGAGUGUUUACAGGUACUGAUAUUUUUUGCGGAAGUGUGAAUGUUCCUUUAUGAUGUUUGAAGACGGUUUUAAACUCUGUCAUUUCAUUUUAAAAGUUGUUUUUCAGUUUUAGACACUUUAUACUUUUAAGUUCUUUGCGCUAAAAAAAAAUUAUAAACAUUUUAGUUUGUUAUAUGGAAAUAUCAAAUUAAAAGUUUUAAAAUUUUAAAUUGUUAAACUGUUUUCUUUAAUGCUAUACUUAUUAUUGGUUUUAUGUUUCUCAAAAGGCCUGAACAUAUUUACUCUAUAAAUCAGGAUCAAUCUAGUAUUUAGUUUUCAUCGGAUGAGCCUUAUAUCAUUAAAUCAUCCUGCUCUGGUAGCUGCUUGUCAAUAGUUUAGCCGUACAAUUAGCCUCACCAAGACUGAAAUCCUGGCACAAGAUGUAGCAGAAAUACUAGUGAUACAUAUUGGAAAUCACACACUUACAGUGGUUCAGGAUUUCACAUAUUUGGGUACAACAAUAGCCAGCAACCUAGAUUUAGACACUGAGCUGACAAAAAGAAUAGGAAAGGUUUCUGCAGCAAUGUCAAAACUCUCCAAGCGAGUCUGGGAAAAUAACAAAUUGACUACGGCAAACAAACUUCUAGUCUAUUGCCUGUGUUGUGAGCACACUUCUUUAUGGCAGUGAGAGCUGGGCAAAUUGCAUGCAUCAAGAACAAAGAAUAAAUAAUUUUCACCUACGCUGCCUGCGAUGCAUAAUGUGCAUCUCCUGGAGGGAUCAUGUCACCAACUAGGAAGUUUUGAAACUGGCCAAUAUGCACAGUAUAUAUGCUCUUCUUCAACAUAGAAGACAACGCUGGCUCAGUCGUGUCACUCGCAUGCCAGAUGGAAGAAUCCCCAAAGACAUCCUAUACGCUGAGCUUGCAGAGGGAGUCAGACCCAAGGGCCGCCCAAGACUAACCUACAGAGAUGUCUGUAAGCGAGACAUGAAAGCCACGAGCAUCGACCAAAGUAUGUGGGAGGAGAUAGCCCAAGACCUGACAGCAUGGAAACUUUGCCGAAGCUGCGUCAGCCAAGAGAAAGAAUAAGAAAGCUGCCCUGUCAGCUAGCCCUAAGACAGAUACAUAUACAUGCACGAACUUUAGCAAACUCUACAGCUCCAGAAUUGGUUUGAUCAGUCACACCAGAUUCUGCCCCAUCUCAAGACGUAAUCGAGGACUAUGACUCAUCCGGGCGCAUCUAUUGCCUUCCGAGACAGGAGCCAUUUAUAAAUCAUCCUGUACACAAACUAUCAAAUUCUGUCAAUUUCUUCACUAUGAUCGAAGAAUAUGGAACUUUAUUUUUAAACAGCAAGUAAGCUUUUAAAGGAGCGGUGGCUGAGCGGUAAAGCGGUUUGAUUCCGAAACGGGGUCCGGUGAAGACUGUGAUUUUGAAUUUCAAGAUCCUUGGGGCCUCUGAGUCCACCCAGCUUAAAUGAGUAUUUGAUAUUAGUUGGGAAAAAGUAAAGUUGUUUGGUCGUUGUGCUGGCCACAUGACACCAAUUGCAUGACCUUUACAUCACAAGGUCUGAAAGGGGAACUUUUACGUAUAGGAAGCAGAAUGACCUAAAGACGAUCCCAUUUAAAUAGAUUAAUGAUGCAUCCACUGCAACGUGACUAAUGUAACAACAAAAAAAAAAAACAAACAAAAAAAAAAGAAAAAUUACUUUCUCUUCGUUCUCUCGCCCUCUCCUCAUCAAUUAUCAACUUUGAGCAUACUCGUAUAUCUUCUUUGCCCCCUCCCUUUAAAGUAGGCUUGUUUAAGAAAACCGCUAGCGUUGACUGACCAGCGAGCCUGGAAAUAAAAAUCCAUAAUUACCUCAGGCCCAUCCUUGGAGACCUGCCUUCCUAAAUGUACUACUUUUAGUUGUCUUGCAUGUAAAGUGUAAGAGCUAGAUACUUGUGUGCAUUAAUUCUUUGUUUUAUUUUGAGAAACUUCUGGUGUUUUUUACUUCCAAGUUGCCUGAAGAAAUCGAACAAUGGAGCGGUGCUUGAUGCUUAGAGCUACCUUAGUGUUUGCAAUACUUGGGACGGCGUUAGCAGACGACGGUGCAUGGAGCUUCCUUACUUGGAUUCCCAUAGCAGCUGGAGCGACCAUUGUAGUUUUUUUAAUGGCAUUUAGCUCAUCAAGGAAUAGAAAAAAGGAAAGUGAAGAGAAAAAAGAAAAGGAAAGUGAAAAGAAAAAAGAAAAGGAAAGAGAAAAGAAAA